rnacentral:lncRNA from 1 species
UUAAAUUAAAAAAAAAUCACACUCACACACAUCACCCCCAGACACACACACAGCACCCAGACACACACAGCACCCCCAGACACACACAUCACCCCCAGACACACACAUCACCCCCAGACAUACACAGCACCCAGACACACACAGCACCCCCACACAGCACCCAGACACACACAGCACCCCCAGACACACACAGUACCCAGACACACACAGCACCC